rnacentral:rRNA from 1 species
CACCGCGGUUAUACGAGAGGCCCAAGUUGAUAGCCAGCGGCGUAAAGAGUGGUUAAGGGACAUCCCCACUAAAGUCGAACGCAUUCAGAGCUGUUAUACGUUCCCGAAAGCAAGAAGCCCCACUACGAAAGUGACUUUAUAUUACCUGACUCCACGAAAGCUGUGAAA